GUCCACGCCGUAAACGAUGGAUACUAAGUGUUGGAGAAAUUCAGUGCUGUAGUUAACGCAAUAAGUAUCCCGCCUGGGGAGUAUGCGCGCAAGCGUAAAACUCAAAGGAAUUGACGGGGCCCGCACAAGCGGUGGAGUAUGUGGUUUAAUUCGAAGCAACGCGAAGAACCUUACCAGGUCUUGACAUACCGCGCAAAAGCAUAGAGAUAUGUAAUAGUUAUGGCGGAUACAGGUGGUGCAUGGUUGUCGU
rnacentral:rRNA from 1 species